AUUGAACGCUGGCGGCAGGCCUAACACAUGCAAGUCGAACGGUAACAGGAAGCAGCUUGCUGCUUUGCUGACGAGUGGCGGACGGGUGAGUAAUGUCUGGGAAACUGCCUGAUGGAGGGGGAUAACUACUGGAAACGGUAGCUAAUACCGCAUAACGUCGCAAGACCAAAGAGGGGGACCUUCUGGCCUCUUGCCAUCGGAUGUGCCCAGACGGGAUUAGCUAGUAGGUGGGGUAACGGCUCACCUAGGCGACGAUCCCUAGCUGGUCUGAGAGGAUGACCAGCCACACUGGAACUGAGACACGGUCCAGACUCCUACGGGAGGCAGCAGUGGGGAAUAUUGCACAAUGGGCGCAAGCCUGAUGCAGCCAUGCCGCGUGUAUGAAGAAGGCCUUCGGGUUGUAAAGUACUUUCAGCGGGGAGGAAGGGAGUAAAGUUAAUACCUUGGCUCAUUGACGUUACCCGAAGAAGAAGCACCGGCUAACUCCGUG
rnacentral:rRNA from 1 species